GGCAACUCUAAGAGGGCUAAACAAGAGGAUCCAAGAAAUAGAGGCAUAGAAGAGGCCCACACGGCUUCUCCGGAAAAACAUCCUCACUCGAAGCCUCCAGUUGGAGUGAAAAAUGUUGUUCGUAAAAAAACAGUUGGAACAAAGGAUUUGCAAACGUCCA